UACGUAGGGGGCUAGCGUUGUCCGGAAUCAUUGGGCGUAAAGAGCGUGUAGGCGGCCGGUAAGUCCGCUGUAAAAGUCAAAGGCUCAACCUUUGAAAUGUCAGUGGAUACCUGCCCGGGCUAGAGUCCGGAAGGGGCGAGUGGAAUUCCUGGUGUAGGCGGUGAAAUGCGCAGAGUAUACAGGAGGAACACCAAUGGCGAAGGCAGCUCGCUGGGACG
rnacentral:rRNA from 1 species